rnacentral:lncRNA from 1 species
UGAGCUCUAGUGAGGGAAGGUUGGAGAAUGGAGAAUGGAGAGUGAAAAUUUGAGAGAAAAUGAAGAAUGGGUGGAAUCAAAAAGUGAAGAAGAAAUCCUCUCAUGGGUGAAUGAUGAAUGAUUAUAUAGAACUAGGUGAGGGAUAAUUAGAGGUUGAGAAUUGGUUAGAAGUUAUUUUGGACUGUUUUGGGUACUUUGGACAAUUGCCUAAAGUAGUUAGAAGUUAGUUUGUUAAAGUUUAAGGUAGUUAGAGUGGUUAAAGCAUGAAUAUAUGUGACUUUACAUGUAUGUCCAUAUGCUGAAUUUUUAAUGAAUGUUGAGUGAAAUUGAAUGAAUUUACAUGACAUCACUUGAGUACAUGUUUGAGUACUUACAUGGUAUGAAUGAAUAACUUAUGGAUGCAUUUAAAUUGGUUCUCAUGUAUGAAAUUAUGUAUUACAUGAAUGCUGAAUUUUUUUUAACACACAUGAUUUAUGGGGUUUUACUUGUUGUAUGAAAAUGAAAUGAGAAUGAUGCAUAAUAUGAAAUUUGUAUUUAUGGUAUAUGCAUAGCAUGCUGAAUUUUUAUAACUUAACAUUGAAUUUAACUUGGUUUUGAAUAGUUUUGCAUAUUAUGUGAAUAUGUGUGCAUGUGUUGGAUUUUAGAAAUGAAUGAUAUGAAUUUAAGAUGAUUUUUCCCGUGUAUUUGUAAAUGUUCAUAAAGCUGAAUUUUGUUAUGUAAGUG